UCAAGCGAUCCUCCCGCCUCAGCCUCCCAAAGUGCUGGGAUUACAGGCAGGAGCCAUGGUACCGGGCCCUCAAAGGGUUAUUAGAAAGACAAAAGAUAAUGUACAUGAAGUGCUUAGCACUCUCCCUGGGGUAGCAGUGAUAGAAAAAUACAAAUAAUCAUAAUAUUAAUAGUAACAGCAGCAGCAGGAGAAAAGUAAUAUUAAUAGCUAACACUGACUCAGCCCUUACUGUAUGUGAGGCAUAUGCAGAGACCCUUACACAUGCCACUCAUUUUGCGUCCACUACAUCAUGCGUUGGGUACUAUUAUUGUCACCAUCCCCAUUUUUGCGUAUGAGAAAACUGAGAGCACAGAAAGCUUGAGUAACUGCCCCAAAGUCACACUACAGAACCAGAAUCUCAGCCAGGUUCCAGAGGCCUAGCUUUUACUGACCACGAUUAGAUGCCUGAGUGAGCAAGAAAUGCUAAAUUAUCAGGCAACCUGUAAAUAUUUUAAGGGACCGGAACAAAUCUGUCCAAGGAAAACUGCUAAAAUGCAAAAUUUGCUCAGAUGAGGAAAUUCACCAAAUCGCUGGUCCCCCUAGGUUCAUGCAGGUUACAGGUGGCACCCCCGAUCAGCGACAGAAUCAGGUACUCUACAAAGUGGCGCCCAAACAGGGACUUCAAGGACAUGAAGAAGAAGGUCUGCUGGAGCAGAGGAACUGAAAUUGACAAGGUGAACGGGGAUCCCAGGUCUGUAAAAUCGGACGGACUGCCAAUCAGAGAAUGAGAGAUGCCCAGCCUGGCCUUACAUUCUUUCAAUUAAUACAUAAACACAAAGGGAGAGAUGUUGGGAGCCAAAAAGGCCAAAGGGAUCAUGAUCAACUCAGCAUUCCACUGGAGGCUAUAUGAUCAAAUAGCAAACUGUUUAUCACUAUCACGAAUGCAGGAUGUGAGCAAACUCACACUGCGCCUGCCACCAAAAGGUUGGCUGAGGGCCUCACUCCCUGGCACGGGGCUCCUUGAAGUUAUCUACUGAGAAAUCUAGUGUCUAUUGUUCAAACGAUGCAGUCUGGCAAGCCUGCUGUGAACCAACCAGCCGACUGACAAUUACCCCACAAUCACCCCCCAUUUAUCCCUAUCUGUUUUGCCUAAUAAAUAUGGAGGGCUGUGUAAAGCUCAGGGCCCUUGUCCACUAGAGGCAAGGUGCCCCCUGACCCCUUCU
rnacentral:lncRNA from 1 species